CACGCAGCCCCGGUUCCCGCUAGCGCCUCUCCCUCCACACCUCCCUGCAAGCUGAGGGAAUGGGCUCCAGCCUUGGCCAGCCUAGAAAGGGGCUCCCACAGUGCAGUGGUGGGCUGAAGGGCUCCUCAAAUGCCGCCAAAGUGGGAGCCCAGGCAGAGGAGGUGCCAACAGCAAGCGAGGGCUCUGAGGACUGCCAGCACGCUGUCACCUCUCAAUGGGAUCUGAGAUUGAAAAGAGCUUUGAACUAUUGGACCUAGCUUUGCCAACCGAAAGCCACUUGAAGCACAGUGGCUGGCACCAGGUAGGAGGACAAAUCAUGCUUGUGGAGUGAGUGAAUAAUCAGAAAGCGUAGGUCCUGAUAAUAGAAGUUAAUGACUGAAGUAUCUACACUUAUUUAUUCCCUAACAUCCCUUGGGCACUUAACUCUUAGUUAGAUACUGUUUAAAACACUUAAAAAGUAUUACCUCACAAUUACUCUAUCCUAAGGUAGCAACUCUAUGAUCCCAGGUUUAUCAUUGUGCCACAGGCUUAGGAGGGAGGUCUGAACAAAAAUGCAAGAAAAAGGAACUUCUGUCCUCCAAGCCACGUCGUUGUAAAGAUGCAGCAUACCUCUCAGAAAUUUAAGUUAAUAGAAACAAGCACUACAUGCUAAUGUACAUGGAAUGUGUGACUAACAGAGAAAAAGUGAUACUGUGAGGAUGUAAAAAAUGAGCUAACUCGAAAAGUCCCCAAGAAGUAGUGUUAAUUAAUACAAAGAACUAUCUAAUGCUUACCAGUAAUAAGAAAAAAAAUACAGAGGUAUAAAAAAUAUAUAAAUUGUGUGCUCCCACCAUAAGAAGGCAAACGGCAUCCCUAAGAGCUGUGCAAACAAAGCCUUCCUGGAAUUUGAAGAGAAAAAGAAACGGUGUGAGGAUCGAGUCACCUGUGGCACAUUGUAAUAAAUUUGUUGAACUGCACUGGAACAGAGCAUACAGCAUGCACAUUGUGAGCAAUGAUAUAAUUCCAAC
rnacentral:lncRNA from 1 species